rnacentral:rRNA from 1 species
UGCGUAGGUGGCGCCGUAAGUCAGGUGUGAAAUCUCGGGGCUCAACCCCGAAACUGCACUUGAUACUGCGGUGCUCGAGUACUGGAGAGGAGAUUGGAAUUUGCGGUGUAGCAGUGAAAUGCGUAGAUAUCGUAAGGAAGACCAGUGGCGAAGGCGAAUCUCUGGACAGUUACUGACACUGAGGCACGGAAGGCCCGAAGGGGGGAGACCGAAAACCGG